GAUUAGCCCCAAUAGCAGCUGUACAAGCACAUUGAAAGAUAUCUAAUAGAAGGAAACGGCAAUACGGAACUUGGAAUGAAGCUAGUUUAUUAUUAUUAGGCUUCAAAUAGAGUUAGAAGCGCUUGACAACGUUCAGCAGAUUGAUGUUACUAAUCAGGAUCGCCAUUUUGGGUACAAUUCGAGCGUUGCUUUAGGGCUUUUUCGGUGGAGCUGCGUUUGAGCUAUAUCUCUAUGGACACGGAUAUCGAUAAGGUGAGUUAUAAGUGAACUCCGAAUAAUGAAAUGCGCUAUUGAAUUGCUCUUAGCGGAGCAGUUUUCCCAGCCCAGCUUCUGCCAAUCUCCGGUUCGCCCCAUCACGGACAGUCACCUAUGACCCCAUUUGCGAGCGAACAUAUCUUUUCCUGAGACAUCUAACCAUCGAGUCGUCGGAUAGACUAUACAGCCUCUCCUGUAUUUUGUUCAG